UACUAAUUUGCUCCAUAUGGAUCACUAUUGUUAUAUAUGAUAGUUAUCUCUAUUCCAUUACUCCUAUAUUUUGAGUAGUUAUACCACUCUUUCCAUAUUCUUGAUACUGGUAAGACAGAUAUAACUACUGUACUCCUCCUAUGCAUGGGUAGCAGUGAUUAUUAGCCAAUUAUCAUCUUUCAACUUCACUCAAUCUAGAUCUUGUCUUAGACCAGUAACUCUUACUCUUUUGAGUGUAAAUCCAAGUUACUCAAUUUGCACAUUUUAUAUAUUAGUUUGCACUUUUCUUGAUGUAUCAGUCUUUAGAUCACAAUUGUCGUUCUAGAUACAAUGUAAACAACUUC
rnacentral:lncRNA from 1 species